rnacentral:rRNA from 1 species
UACGAAGGGGGCUAGCGUUGCUCGGAAUCACUGGGCGUAAAGGGUGCGUAGGCGGGUCUUUAAGUCAGAGGUGAAAUCCUGGAGCUCAACUCCAGAACUGCCUUUGAUACUGAGGAUCUUGAGUUCGGGAGAGGUGAGUGGAACUGCGAGUGUAGAGGUGAAAUUCGUAGAUAUUCGCAAGAACACCAGUGGCGAAGGCGGCUUACUGGUCCGGAACUGACGCUGAGGUGCGAAAGCGUGGGGAGCAAACAGG